GUAGGUGGCAAGCGUUGUCCGGGAAUUAUUGGGGCGUAAAGCGCGCGCAGGCGGUUCCUUAAGUCUGAUGUGAAAGCCCACGGGCUCAACCGUGGAGGGUCAUUGGAAACUGGAGAACUUGAGUACAGAAGAGGAAAGCGGAAUUCCACGUGUAGCGGUGAAAUGCGUAGAGAUGUGGAGGAACACCAGUGGCGAAGGCGGCUUUCUGGUCUGUAACUGACGCUGAGGCGCGAGAGCGUGGGGAGCAAACAGGAUUAGAUACCCUGGUAGUCCACGCCGUAAACGAUGAGUGCUAAGUGUUAGGGGGUUUCCGCCCCUUAGUGCUGCAGCUAACGCAUUAAGCACUCCGCCUGGGGAGUACGGCCGCAAGGCUG
rnacentral:rRNA from 1 species